CUAAGAAUAUUCCGCAAUGGACGGAAGUCUGACGGAGCGACGCCGCGUGGAUGACGAAGGCCGAAAGGUUGUAAAGUUCUUUUGCUGGGGAAGAAUAACCGCAGGAGGGAAUGCCUGUGGGAUGACAAGAACCGUCGAAUAAGCCCCGGCCAACUACGUGCCAGCAGCCGCGGUAACACGUAGGGGGCGAGCGUUGUUCGGAAUUACUGGGCGUAAAGGGCAUGUAGGCGGCUUGGAAAGCCUGGCGUGAAAGUCUGCAGCUUAACUGCAGGGGUGCUCUGGGAACUGCUGAGCUUGAGUGACGGAGAGGGAGCUGGAAUUCCUGGUGUAGGGGUGAAAUCUGUAGAUAUCAGGAAGAACACCGAUGGCGAAGGCAAGCUCCUGGCCGAUGACUGACGCUGAGGUGCGAAAGUGUGGGGAUCAAACA
rnacentral:rRNA from 1 species